UACGUAGGGGGCAAGCGUUGUCCGGAAUCAUUGGGCGUAAAGAGCGUGUAGGCGGCCCGAUAAGUCCGCUGUGAAAGUCCAGGGCUCAACCCUGGGAUGCCGGUGGAUACUGUCGGGCUCGAGUCCGGAAGAGGAGUGUGGAAUUCCUGGUGUAGCGGUGAAAUGCGUAGAGAUCUGGAAGAACACCAAAGGCGAAGGCAGCAUUCUGGGAAGUACCUGACGCUCAUGUGCGAAAGCUAGGGGAGCGAACGGG
rnacentral:rRNA from 1 species